CCUCAGGGCCACCAAGGGGCAGGAGGAAAAGAAUGAAGGGGUUCUCACUGCUGCAGCAGGAAGAGCUGGGAAAAGUGGAGGAAAGUGGAGGAAUUGGAUGGACCCGCAGGCAUCUGGAGUCUCUCCCAGCGUGCUAGGCGAGGGAGGCAGCAGGUGCCACCAGGGACUGGCAGCUUCUAGGACAUGCCCCUCAAGCUGCUUCUCCUGAGGAGGGUCACCCUCAGGCCAUCAGCAUCUGCACAGGCCCUUUGCCUUCCAUAGGCAGCCCCUGCUCCCAGUCUUCUCAGGCCCCACAGGGACCCAAGUGCCCAGAGCCCCAGGAAGGUCGAGGGCCUAGCUGCCUGCAACACUCCACUCACUGAUACACUGACUUCCACCUUCCUGGCCAGGCCCCGUUCCAGACCCAGCCAGGGUGAAGAGGACUCCCAGGGGCGGAGAUCGAGGCCCAGGAGAGAACAGAGAGCAUCCUGCUUUAAUUGGAGGGCCUGGGAGUGGCCGACACAGAGUCAGCCACAGUGUUUUGGGAUGGACAGAACAAAUAGAACACAAGUCUACUGGACGCUGUGCUGACACAGAUAUGGGACUCAAGUUGUCUGUAAACAUUCCUGUGACUUGGCCUGCUGCAGAAAUAAAAGCACUAGCCUGGA